rnacentral:rRNA from 1 species
UACAGAGGUCUCAAGCGUUGUUCGGAUUCAUUGGGCGUAAAGGGCGCGUAGGCGGCGGGGUAAGUCGGGUGUGAAAUCUCAGAGCUCAACUCUGAAAUGGCACUUGAUACUGCUCUGCUAGAGGACUGGAGAGGAGAUUGGAAUUCACGGUGUAGCAGUGAAAUGCGUAGAUAUCGUGAGGAACACCGGUGGCGAAGGCGGCUCUCGUGGACCGAUACUGACGCUGAGGCGCGAAAGCGUGGGGAGCAAACAGG